GAUCCGGUGGCUUAGUGGUUAGAGCGUCCGCCUCAGAUGCGUGAGGUCGCGUGUUCGAACCCCGGCCAAGUCA